rnacentral:rRNA from 1 species
UACGAAGGGGGCGAGCGUUGUUCGGAUUUACUGGGCGUAAAGGGCUCGUAGGCGGCCAACUAAGUCAGACGUGAAAUCCCUCGGCUUAACCGGGGAACUGCGUCUGAUACUGGAUGGCUUGAGGUUGGGAGAGGGAUGCGGAAUUCCAGGUGUAGCGGUGAAAUGCGUAGAUAUCUGGAGGAACACCGGUGGCGAAGGCGGCAUCCUGGACCAAUUCUGACGCUGAGGAGCGAAAGCCAGGGGAGCAAAGCGGG